rnacentral:rRNA from 1 species
AACGAACGCUGGCGGCAGGCCUAACACAUGCAAGUCGAGCGAACCCUUCGGGGUUAGCGGCGGACGGGUGAGUAACGCGUGGGAAUAUGCCCUUUGCUACGGAAUAGCCCUGGGAAACUGGGAGUAAUACCGUAUGUGCCCUUCGGGGGAAAGAUUUAUCGGCAAAGGAUUGGCCCGCGUUGGAUUAGGUAGUUGGUGGGGUAAUGGCCUACCAAGCCUACGAUCCAUAGCUGGUUUGAGAGGAUGAUCAGCCACACUGGGACUGAGACACGGCCCAGACUCCUACGGGAGGCAGCAGUGGGGAAUCUUAGACAAUGGGGGCAACCCUGAUCUAGCCAUGCCGCGUGAUCGAUGAAGGCCUUAGGGUUGUAAAGAUCUUUCAGCUGGGAAGAUAAUGACGGUACCAGCAGAAGAAGCCCCGGCUAACUCCGUGCCAGCAGCCGCGGUAACAC